CCCAUAAAGUAGAAAGCACUA
rnacentral:ncRNA from 7 species